ensembl:lncRNA
CGGAGGCCUCUGCAGCGAGGAGGGCUGAGGGAGGGCGGCUGGGGCUCGGGUGCCGGUGUCCAGGUUUGAGGUUGUCUCUGAGCCUGCAGCCACAAUGCAAGUAUGUAACCAUGCUCACCUCCAGCCCUACACACACUCCCAAAAGUCCCAGGUUUGGGCCCCGACGACGUUUGAACAGUUGUGCCUCUGGGAAAGCGAGUGUCCAGCCCUGCCUCCGCUGCAGGCAAGUGGUUGAAAACUAAAAUGUAAGUAGUCCUUGAAGAUCUUGAUCAGGAGAGUUCUUGUCCAUGUUUCUGUUUUGUUUUCGUCUACUUCUCUUAGAUCUCUGUAUCUCAGUGUUCCUGAUGUAGAAGUGUAGGUUUGAUUUCUGAAGUUACCCGAGGACCCUGAUAGUCUUGAUUCCUGAAAAGGGAGUAGGUAGGAAAGAGGAGCUGGAGUUGUUUACUUCUCCCACAAAAAUAAACAAAAAGCAAACGCAGCUUCGUUUCUUUCUAGUCUCUUUAACUUUGAUUUUUAAAACGGAAGAAGGAAAAAAAAAAAAGGCAGAGAUGGGGAAACGUGGGAGACUUGUGAAAGGCACUUGGAGCUGUUCCCAGUUACCACCUCAUCCACAACAGCCACGAGAAAUGAAGCACUAGACCCUUCUUCCACCUGACUGCUCCUAACCACAUACUGCCUUAUCUCAAUGUAUGGAAAAGGGAGUUCUCUGUUUUCUUUGUGGGCUUGUGUCUAAAUGCCAAUCUUUGAGACAUACAUAAAGGAGAAUAAAAUCAUUAGACUAGUUUGCACAUUUAGAGUAUUGUAUCUGGAUUUAUUUAAUAGCCUGUACUCUUUAGUAUUUCCAUUGUCAUCCAGUAUAGGCAACACUUUAGCUACUCUGAGACAGUUUUUACAAACUCCCACACGUCUUUGGCAACUUAUUAAUGCAUGCCAAACUCAUAUUGUGAAGUUAGGGCUUCAUGUUUUAGAACUCCUUUAAGGAAAUGGUCUCUUGAGAGACUAUUUUCCAAGUGCCCCUCACAAAAAAAGGGAGAUGGAUUUGGUUAAUGUAACUUUUGAUAACUUUAAUAGAUAAAAUACAAAAUUGGUACUAGAAAUGUAACUGGGAAUGUCGAAUUAUUUGUUUCUCCUGAGACCCUAUAAAUAUUUUAUCAAUUUUUAAGAUAUGAAGACAUAAAAUGUCUGUUUUACCAUUCUACUGUUAAUAAGGAGAGCACUGGAUACAACACAAGAAACAAUGGUUUCCAGAUUGUGGUCUGAAUUGUGAUCCCUAACUAAAGAGAAACAGUGAGCUUUACCAUUGCCCCGUGUUUUUGCCUUGGCAAACACAAUUCCCAGCUAACUUCAGAGGGAGUGGACAGCCAAAUAAGAGUAGGAUAGUUCCUUACCAUGAAAACAUGUCUGUGUUCCCAUAGUCAGGGAGGCUAGAAUUAGGGAAGUAGAGUCACUGAGAGAAGGAAGAAAGAAAAUCUACAGAAUUUGGACUAGGAGACCUUUGAGUCUUUGGCUCCAUAUGGCUUGUACAGAAUGAAACCCUAGGGAGUUGGCUAGUAACAAUUUCUAGGGAAAAAACAUACCUGGGUUAUUGCAAAAUAAUCCCAGAUAAUUGUUUCAAAGGCUUAGGAGUCAUUGAUUUAAAGUGAUCCCUUCAGUCAGAGAAAACUCAGAUGUAGGACAUUCAGUAGAUGGGUCUCAAAAGAGGAGCUAAGUUUACGAAUGGGCUCCCCAAAAUGGGAGCCUGGCUGAGGAUAAACUUUGGCCAAGUGAGCAACUGAUUGUUGAAACAAGUUUGAUGUUCCACAAAGGAAUACACAAAGUGGACAUCACUAAUAUAAUUGCAAUGUAAAUCUAAUGGUCAUGUAAGGAAGACAUAGCAGUAACAGAUCCAAACACAGGGACUUUGAACAACUUGGAGUUAGUUAUUGCUAGAAGGCAGUUAAACCACUGUGCUGACCUUCGUGUUACAUGAAUAUAAAGACAGAGAUUUCGUUCUACAGCCUAGUGGGAAUGUGCUAAUGACAAUAAAGUUAGUUUCAGGUAUAUACCCAGUUAAAGCAACAGCAAGAACUGUGAUUUCCAGUUGGGAACUUCUGAUUGUUGGGGUGGUCUUAGGUAGACCCCUCCAAUAACAAAAUUAUUCAUACAGCCAACACCCUGUGUUUGCACACCACUUUGUGUGUUUCAGUUUACUAUUUCUCUGGAGAGUAUUUGAUGAGUGUAUUAUUUAAAAAAAAAUACUUCUCAGAAAGAGGUGACACUGGGCUUUUGGUUUUCUUAAUUGUAGUUGGGUCUAUUAAUCUGUACUCUGCCUGCUUUGUCAGGGAGCUGACAUGAAUUAAAUGUGAUAAAAUUUGUGGAAUAACUUGGCUAUAAUACAUCACUGUAUAAUUCUAAUUCUAGUAACAUCUUGCACAUUUUCCUUAAGCUUCUUGUACACUGCAAUGAGAUGAAAGUAAAUUCCAAUCCUGUUAUAGAACACAGGCAACUGACUCUGGGGUGUGUGCCACAAGUCCAGUCACAAUCUGUAUCCCAACCACAGAAUUCCAGAGCUAUCACUCUGGAAACUUCUGGCAGCUGCUAUACCAACUACGUAAGGGUGUCUUGAGAACAUUAGGGUUACCUAGUAUUUUUUCUGUAUUCAGCCUUAUUUCACACAUUUAUUCUUGUAUAUUCUACUUCCUACAUGUGUGUGCAACUUAAACAUUCUUUCCAAUGCAACAUUCUUUUGUGAUAACUCAUAGAAUCUAGCAGAAUAAUCAGGAAUUGGUCACUUCAUUGAAUCUUUUUUUUUUCUUUAAAGAGUAAAUGUAUAGAUUUAUUUUCCAUUAAAAGCUACAGGAGUAUUCUUUAUGAUUUCUGGCAUUUCCUCUGUACAUUUUCAGAAUAUAAAUGAGAGGUAGAAUGCUGGUUUCAGUGUUUUUAAAUUUAUUAUAUAAAAGAAAAAAAUGAAUGCAGUUUUUUGUACACAUUUAAAUUCCAUAAAACAAAUCCAUAGAAAUUAGGAUACUGUAUGCAUGCACUCUGCAUUUUCUUUGUUAAAUGUCUUUGCUCACAAAAAUAACACCACAUUUUUUCUUUAAAGCCACUAAAGCAGAGGGAGAACAAAGCAUGCAGCACAUAUACAUUUGCAUAGUGUAUUUUACCCAGCAUGCCUUGUAGAAUGCUACAUAUACCUAUAUAACAAAAUGAAAAGGACAAAUUAUUAAAAUCAAUAACCAAAAGAAAAGGAAAGUUAGUUGACAAAGGCAUUUUCCCCACCACAUCAGCAGAGACUUAGGAAUAACCUGGGAUAACAACAGCCCUCAGAAUAGGGGGAAUCUUUUUAUAUCAUUUUGCCAUAAUUAUUUUAGUAUGUUUCCUAUUAAUAAUGUUAUUUUUAUUCCCUCCCACCUCUUAAAAAUACAGCUAAUGGCAUUAAUGUAUGCUUCAAAUAGGAUUUGAAUUGAACAAAGAAUCCCUACUUAAUAUUUUUCCAUGGGGACAUUUUACCGAUCUC